rnacentral:rRNA from 1 species
AACGAACGCUGGCGGCAUGCCUAACACAUGCCAGUCGAACGAGACCUUCGGGUCUAGUGGCGCACGGGUGCGUAACGCGUGGGAACCUGCCCUUAGGUUCGGAAUAACUCCCCGAAAGGGGUGCUAAUACCGGAUAAUUUCUUCGGACCAAAGAUUUAUCGCCUUUGGAUGGGCCCGCGUUGGAUUAGCUUGUUGGUAGGGGAAAAGCCUACCAAGGCGACGAUCCAUAGCUGGUCUGAGAGGAUGAUCAGCCACACUGGGACUGAGACACGGACCAGAAUCCUACGGGAGGCAGGAGUGGGGAAUAUUGGACGAUGGGCGAAAGCCUGAUCCAGCAAUGCCGGGUGAGUGAUGAAGGCGUUAGGGUUGUAAAGCUCUUUUACACGGGAUGAUAAUGACAGUACCGGGAGAAUAAGCACCGGCUAACUCCGUG